AGAACGAACGCUGGCGGCAGGCCUAAUACAUGCAAGUCGAACGCACUCUUCGGAGUGAGUGGCAGACGGGUGAGUAACGCGUGGGAACCUUCCCAAUGGUACGGAAUAACUCCGGGAAACCGGUGCUAAUACCGUAUAAGCCCCUCGGGGGAAAGAUUUAUCGCCAUUGGAUGAGCCCGCGUCGGAUUAGCUAGUUGGUAAGGUAAUGGCUUACCAAGGCUACGAUCCGUAGCUGGUCUGAGAGGAUGAUCAGCCACACUGGGACUGAGACACGGCCCAGACUCCUACGGGAGGCAGCAGUAGGGAAUCUUGGACAAUGGGCGAAAGCCUGAUCCAGCCAUGCCGCGUGAGUGAAGAAGGCCUUAGGGUUGUAAAGCUCUUUUGGCGGGACGAUAAUGACGGUACCCGCAGAAUAAGCCCCGGCUAACUUCGUGCCAGCAGCCGC
rnacentral:rRNA from 1 species